UGGGGAAUAUUGGGCAAUGGGGGAAACCCUGACCCAGCAACGCCGCGUGAAGGAAGAAGGCCUUCGGUUGUAACAUUCUUUUAUCCAGGAGCGAAGGAAGUGACGGUACCUGGAGAAAAAGCAACGGCUAACUACGUGCCAGCAGCCGCGGUAAUACGUAGGUUGCGAGCGUUGUCCGGAUUUACUGGGUGUAAAGGGCGUGUAGGCGGAGAAGCAAGUUGGGAGUGAAAUCUAUGGGCUCAACCCAUAAACUGCUCUCAAAACUGUUUCCCUUGAGUAUCGGAGAGGCAAGCGGAAUUCCUAGUGUAGCGGUGAAAUGCGUAGAUAUUAGGAGGAACACCAGUGGCGAAGGCGGCUUGCUGGACGACAACUGACGCUGAGGCGCGAAAGCGUGGGGAGCAAACAGGAUUAGAUACC
rnacentral:rRNA from 1 species